rnacentral:rRNA from 1 species
GAUGAACGCUGGCGGCGUGCCUAAUACAUGCAAGUCGAGCGAACGGACGAGAAGCUUGCUUCUCUGAUUUUAGCGGCGGACGGGUGAGUAACACGUGGAUAACCUACCUAUAAGACUGGGAUAACUUCGGGAAACCGGAGCUAAUACCGGAUAAUAUUUUGAACCGCAUGGUUCAAAAGAGAAAGACGGUCUUGCUGUCACUUAUAGAUGGAUCCGCGCUGCAUUAGCUAGUUGGUAGGGUAACGGCUUACCAAGGCAACGAUGCAUAGCCGACCUGAGAGGGUGAUCGGCCACACUGGAACUGAGACACGGUCCAGACUCCUACGGGAGGCAGCAGUAGGGAAUCUUCCGAAAUGGGCGAAAGCCUGACGGAGCAACGCCGCGUGAGUGAUGAAGGUCUUCGGAUCGUAAAACUCUGUUAUUAGGGAAGAACAGAUGUGUAAGUAACUGUGCACAUCUUGACGGUACCUAAUCAGAAAGCCACGGCUAACUACGUG